GGGGGAGUAUCCAAGAGGUCAAAGGACGGCGGCUGUAAACCGUCAGGCUCAGCCUUCGCAGGUUCGACUCCUGCCUCCCCCA
rnacentral:tRNA from 1 species